UCGGCCGGCCUGUGGAAUCGCGGAAAGUCUUCCUUCGUGGCCGUCCCCUUCUCCCCUCGGUCUCCCAAGUCCCACUUUGCCUAAAUAGGGAGAGUUCUGCGCGGCGCCGGUCUGCUGGGAGAGGGAGGCGCAGGAAGGCGCCUGGAGCCAGCAGCAGCAGGAGGAGGAGAAAAGGAGAGCAGAGGAGGCAGGACCCGCCCUGGCUCUCUCCGCCGAUGGGACUUUGCCCUGCAUGAUCGGGACCCGCAGGGCCAGCAAGAAGCAGCAGCUGCAGCAGCCACAACAACAUGGAAGAAUUCCUGCAGCGCAGCAAAACCAAGCUGAGUCGAAGUAAGUACUUAGAUAAAGUGCACGUAGUCCUGGGAAAGAAGUCCUGCGAUUUGGAUUCUCUUAUUUCUGCUUUGACAUAUGCCUACUAUCUUGAAAAGGUCAGCCCACCCAACAUUCUUUGCUUGCCUGUACUGAACAUAACAAGAAGAGAAUUCUGCUACCAUACAGAAACUAAGUUUAUUUUGGAAGAGCUGAAUAUUCCAGAGUCUCUUCAUGUUUUUUGUGAUGACAUCUAUUUGAACCAGCUUAACAAUGAAGGGAAGCUGUCUCUUACACUUCUGAACAGUAGUGCACUGACAAGUGAAGAUAAAAGUUUGGAGUCAGCUGUCGUCAGAGUCAUCUGCCCCGAAGCAGAGUGUGAUGGCAAUCUGGAGUUAGCUGAAUCCACUUCCUCUCUAGUAGCAAAAGAGCUUCUUCAAAAGGCACCAGAGUUAAUCACUCUGCAACUGGCUCAUCUUCUCAGAGGAAGCAUCCUCUCUAAAGUCAUGGCCAUGGAUCUUGAGAAAAUUACGGAAGAACAAGAAGAAGUGCUUUCCAGUUUGGAACAGAAAUUCCCAGAGCUGUUACCUCGAGAGGAUAUUAUCACUGUGCUGCAGGGGGCUCAGCUUCAAGCAGAUGGGCUAAGGAUUGAGGAGGCUAUGCUCAAGGAUCUCAAAGAGGUGUCAGACGGAGAGAUAAAAGUAGCCGUUAGUACUGUGUAUAUGAAUCUAGAGGACUGCCUCUUGCACAGAAACAUAACUGGAGACUUAAAAGCAUUUGUGGACAAAUAUGGCUUUGAUGUCCUUGUCAUUUUGGCCAGCUACUUAUCAGAAGAGGAGCAAGAAAAAAGGCAAAUAGCUGUUUAUUCAGAAAACACGGAGCUUGGAAAUCAGAUAUGUUGUGAGCUAGAAGAAUGUCAAAAUCCUUGCCUGGAACUGGAUCCUCUGGAAUAUGGAUGUGACCAACUACUCCUUUAUCAGCAAGAAAAUCCUACAGCAAAUUGCAAUGAAAUUUUUCUGCUAAUGAAAGAUGUUAUCACCAGAAGACACCCAGAGAUGGCAGCAAACAGUAGGACGUCUUCCACUGAAGCUGUUGCUGGAAGUGCGCCACUUUCCCAAGGGUCUUCUGGAAUCGUUGAAUUGUAUGGUUCUGAUAUUGAACCUCAGUCAAAUGUUGUCAACUUUAUAGAGAACCCUCAAGAUCAUAAUGGAUCUGCUCAAGUCCACGCUGACGUUAAUGUGGAUCUUGUGAGUCCAGACAGUGGACUUGCUACUAUCAGAAGCAGCAGGUCUUCAAAGGAGAGCUCAGUUUUUCUUAGUGAUGAUAGCCCAGUAGCUGAGGGGGCUGCAUCUCAUCACAGCUUCCUCUCUGGCUUUGACUCUUAUAGUCCUAUUCCUGAAGGAGCAGUAGCUGAAGAAAAACCUCAGUCUACAAACAGCAGUGACAAUUUUGAUUUUUUCAAUUUUGAUUUACCACCAAUGACUGCAGUUCAGACAGAGUCUUCUCAUUCAGUGGACUGCUCCCCUGGUGAUGAUUUCUCCCAUGACAGUGGCUCAUCAGAAGGGCAGCAGCAAGCUGACACAAAAAUACAUCAUGAGACCAAUUCAUCAGAAUAUGACAUUUCAAAUCAUUCAACUGAUUUGCCAGUGACAAGAAAUGAAGACAAUGGCAUAGUAAAAUUUAAUAAGCAUGAAUAUCAACAAGAAAAUCCUAGAGAUUUUACCAAAACAAAAGCAAGUUUGAUUGCCUUGGAAAAUGAUUCUCCGCCUUCUUCCGAAUUGAUGAAAAGUGCUGAGAGAAGGACUCCACCAACCCCAAUGAACAGCCUUGUGGAUACAUCACCUUUAGAUAGUGGGCCACCUUUAUUUUAUCCACAAGAUGUAAUUAAAAAAAUUAAUGAAAUUAAUCACGUGAAUCACCCUCCAUCUCGUGUUAGAUAUGGCAGCUGGUGGGAAGGCUUUGAAUUAGAUUCAAAAGAUGCUGCUACAUGGAGAUCAGCUGAUGCAGAAGCUGUAUUUCAGAAUCCUGAUUCAUGGAAAGAUCAUAAAACAAGUAUACACCUGAGACAGGAAACUGACAGAAGGGCUUCAGAUUCAGUCUAUAUGCAAAAACAAAGGGAGCAUCUGGAAUUUUGGGAUGAUCAACUUAGUCCUAUCCAGAAUGAGUUUACUUUGGAAAACAAUGAAAAAGGCAAUGGACAGCAAAGGGAAGACUUUUGUAACAUGUGGAAAUCCAAUCAAUCAAUGCCUUCAAGAUCUGAUACAUGGGAUAAUACCAACCAUCACAGUGGAUAUGUGGAGACCAAUUCACAUAAUGUUUGGUCAAAUCUUGAUUGCGAUGUUUCUGAGCUUUCUGAGGAUGCCUGGAAUGUUCCUCCAGUAGAUUUUGAUCACAUUUCAAAAAGGAAUUUUGACACAUGGGCUAUGUCUAAACAUUUGCCAGAACUCUCUGAAGAAGGUGAAUAUGAAAAGCUAACCAAUCAAGUGGAUUUACAAUUCAAAAAUAAGGAUAAUCAAAGUUCAACAAAUAAUUGCAGAACAUAUACAAAUACGCAAUCUCAUAUUAAUAAUAUGCCGAAAAAUGUUAAAUUGACCUUGGAACACCAAAACAACACUGUGGAAAAAUCCAAACACGUUGAUAACAUUGAAGAAUGGGAUGCACCUGACUCAAACAUGAGAGAAAAUAUACUUGUCUCCUGGGUAGAUCCCUUCCUCUCAUACAGAGAUCCAGACUUUAUCACAUCAAAUACAUGUGAUGACUUAGUUGUUUCUCCACCAGAUACAAAUUAUUCAACCUCUGAUUCCUAUAUAUCACCAUCAGGAACUGGAGAUGAAAGAGAAGGUGAAGGAAAGCUUUCUCACCGAGAACCCAUGUUUGAUAAAAUGAUAAAUUCAGAUUCAGGUGAACAUGAAAGAUAUGAUUUAACAGAGAAGAAAACAUUACCUCAACUAUCUCCUAUACCUUCAUUUGAUCCCGAUUGGGAAGACAGAGGUCCCGAGAACCAAUCAGAACCUAAACAUUCUAAAGUCAACUUUAUAACAAACACCGUUUCACUAGAUUCAGAACAAAAAUGUGCCACACAUUUUUCAGGUGACCACUGUGUUGAUGAAAGUAGUCCUUCUAGCUCUGAAGAUUGUGGAUUAAUUGAGAUUUCUGCUCAGAGAAGUCAUUCAUUUUUAGAUAGUGUUAAAAACAACUCCAAAGAAAAAGCUCAAACAACUAGUGCAGACUUUCCUAAUGACACUGAUGACAGGGAGAGCACUAUUUCAGUUAGUGGUGAAAUAGAAAGAACUGAACAAAGAAAGCAGGACAGUAAGCUUCUAGACAAACAUUUAGACCAGUGGAAUCAACAACUUCAAUGCAGUCAAGAGUCUGGACUGGAACAUAUUGAUGCUUCUUCUGCCUCAGCACAAAAAGUUGAGGAAGGUAAAAGGAGGAAUGAUGAAAGAAGUGAACGUGAUAUCUUUGACAAUAUUAAGAAUGAAUUCACACAGAAUGAUAACACACCACCAUCAUCUUUACUUGUUCUGCCAUAUGUCAAUAAUUCAGAUGAAAGCAAGACUGUGUCUGAUGAUCCCAGGUCAUCUGAAAAAACAAAAGAGAGUGGAAAUCUCAAAGAAGCAGCAAAAGCAUCAGAAAUAAGCACACUAUUUCCUAAUUGGACUUAUCCUGUCGAUGGGGACAAGAAAGAAGAACUUCCAGAUAGCAAUACAGAUUGCUUUGCUGUGUCUCCCAAAAAUGGUAGCAAACCUUUGGUUCAUCUUGAUAUUACUGAUGAUUUAAAACACAGUUUAAAUGUGGCAUUGACAUCAGUUCAGAAAUGUUUUGAUCAGGAUUUAACUCAGCAAAAGACUCCUGAGCUAGAAAGUCCUUCUCUAGAUUCCGUGGGAAAGGAGAACAAUCAAGAAACGCUUUCUGUAAUAUUUGUUGAGAAUCAAGAUCAAUGGGAUAAAUUGGGUAAGAGUGUAUCUGAGUCAUCAGAUCUUUUGCUACACAAUGAAGCACCACUACCAGAAAGAGGACAACAGGGAUAUUUAUAUGAAGAGUUAAUAUCUAAUAUGAAUGUUAGGCCUUCUUCUUUGGAUGAUAUAAAUCAAGAAAAAUCAACUACUAUUCUACAAAAUCCAAAUGCAGAACAUACUAGAUGUACAACAGGGAUACCUACAAUAAGUAAUUCAGUUUCUUAUAAUAUGGAUUAUACUGAAAGAGAUGAAACUUUUGAAUCUGAAAAUAAAAUGUCAAAUAAGACAUAUAUUGAUAUUAUACCUCAUCAUGAAUUGUCCCAAAUUCUGGAUGCUUGGAAUGUAUCAGUGAAUGAACAAGCACAUUAUGGUGUUGUAAGCCCCAAACUAAAAGAAACACUUGGAGAAUCAGAUACCACAUAUAUUCUCCCCACAAAUAUUGAAGUCAAAGGUGAUUUCAUUCAUGACUAUCCUACACAUUCAUGUGCAACAACUCCAGAUUUCAGUGAAUCUUCUACAAAUAUGCAUACUUGGAACAGCUUGCAAGCAGCUACUACUGAAAAGGGAAAUGCAGAGGAUUGGGAUAUUACAAAUGGUAAAAUAGAAGCAUAUGAAAAAGAAUUACUUAGGAAUAAAAGCCAAGAAGAUUCUGAGACAAGCACUGAUCACAAAGUUCCAAAAAACUUAGACCUUUGGAAUGCUCACAUAGAGGAUGAUACAGUCUCUUCUUUAUCAAGUCCUGGACUCGAUGAAUAUUCAGAAUAUUCAAAUGUACAUGAGUCAGGAAAACAAUCAGAUGUAAAUCCUGAUCAGCUGGAGGAAGAUCUGAUAAUGCAGGAAUCUUUGUAUUGUGAAACAAACCUAGCAGCUAAUUCAGAAAGUUCAGAUACUUGGCCCAGUUUGGAACAAAAUGUAGUAGCACUGAAUGCAUGUUCUGAAGAUGAUGAUGCCUGUAAAAUUUCAAAGGAUUAUUUUUACGAACCCUCUGAGCAUUUAGCACACUGGAAAACUCAAGAUGACAUACAUGACCAAACCUCUACUAUAAAUCAUGAAAAAAAAUAUGCACCAAAAACUUCAGAUGCAUGGGAUUUACUACUCCAUGGUCAUUCUGAAAGUUCAUUAGACACACUUCAGAAGUCCACAGUGGAAGAUCUUGGGUUUCCAAAUGAUUCUUCAGAAUGGUGGGAUUUGCAAAAACAAGGUGACAAUUCAGUGGGUCAAGCAUUUAAUACCAGUUAUGAUUUUAAAAUGAAUGAUUCCAUAACCACAGGCCAUGAUGUUCUGGGAGGACCCACAGAAAGAACUGAAAAACCUGAAGAACUAAAUGCUGAAAUCUAUGAAAAUGAAUCCACUUCAUAUAAUAGUGAAGGUGAAUAUGAAAAUGGAGAACACUCCUUGGAUAAACCACCAGAAGGUUCAGAUCAAGUUUCUGUAAACUUUGAAGAGUGUGAUUCACUGUCAUACAACAAUGAAGGGGAUGUUAAGCAAGAACCUUUUGCUUCUGUUGUUAGUGACCAGGAAUAUCUUAAACAACUUCAUGAAGAAGACUGGGAGUCAAGCCUGCUGAAUGAACUUGCUCAGGUAGAUCCCAAAUUUGGUCUGUUACAAGAUCAUCUGAAUGUAGCUUCCAGUGAUCCAAGUGAACUAAACAUAGGAGACCCAUAUACUCAGACACCAUUAGAUUCACAUGACAUAUCUUUGCCAAAUCCCACACAACCUCUAACAUUAAGGACACCCAGCCCAGCCUUUGAUGAAGACAGAGUUCUAUGUGAAAAUGCAUUUGUUCCAGAUAUAUUACAAAAUAACAAUCCUGUAGACUGUCAGGGAUUUACUGUUGAUCCAGAUUUGUGGAAUGUUGUAGAACAGCCUUUCAAUCUGAGAACAAACAAAGACAAUCCUGAUAUAUUAAGUCACUGCGAUCAAGAUAGCAGUUCACAGGCCUCAAGCAGUCCUGAUGUUUGCCAUGAAUAUGAAAACAAGCAAACAUGUGCUCAGUCUUCCGUUCUAGCUGAGCCUGAAGAAGCUACUCAUAUGUCUCCCAUGCUGUCAGAUAUGUACAGAGAUACAGACUUUUAUUUUAAUCAGAGGCUGGUGAUUGACAGAGAAGAGAUACAUUCUGAAGGAAAUGGUUCAUGCCUUCCAGAUAAUGUUGAGGCAAGCAUUGAGGAGUCGAACCAGCUGUCAUCUAUUAGAAGGGAAGAACCACCUGAAAUUGGAAUAGUAAAUGUGCAGGUUUCUGACACAGAAAACAAAAAAUCUUUUGAAGUAGGCAAUCUGCCAAGUACAGAAAGUGUAGAAGCAGUAUCUCUAAAUCUAGAGAAUUGUGCAUUUGAAAGGGAAAGUAUUGAAGAAAAGGAAGUCUCUGCUUUUGUAGAUAAAUCUAUGUGUCCUGCUGUUGCUCCUGUUUUACCUAUAGAUGAUUCUGUAUGUGAUCCCUUUACUGAUGGUAAUCAGUUUUCAGACUUUGACCAUAUAACAAGGAAUGAUGAUCAAAAAGAAGCAUCAGAUAUCCAUGUUAAUGAUGAAAUUGUAAUGGAACACAGCAUCAGUAAGACAGCAGAUGCCAAUAGACCAUCUAUCAUAGUAAAUGCAAGUAAUCCUUUGGCAAUCACAGACGGUGAAAGUACAGAAAUACAUAAAAGAUCCACACAGUUGCAUUCAUUGCAGGCCUCCAUAGAAGAAGAGAUGGAAGAUUUUGUAUAUGAUACAGGAAGCCAAUAUGCUACUGAAAUUUUACCAGAACCUGAAAAUGUACAGGAGAAUCACAGCCCAUGGUUUACAGCAUCACCUGAUAGACAUUCACCAUAUGCAUGUACUUCUCCAUUUGAUGUAGCAUUUGGUGCAGAAUACACUCAUCAAGAAGGUGACACAAACAUUUCAGAAUGUGAUCCUAAGGAUAUAAAAGAUGAAAGUUCUCAAGUUGAUCACAGUUGGGGAUCCCUGUUAAUAGAAUCUGAUGGGACUCCUGGAUCUUCUUGCACUUUGAAAAAAUUUGAGUAUGAAACAGAUUCAAGUAAUAUUGAAUCACCAACAGGUGACAAUGACAGUAACAUUUUGGAAUCUAAAGGUAUUGCUUUCAGAGGUGAAGUUGCAGAAUGUAUUCAAGAAGAUCAAGGUUGGGAUUCACUUUUGCUAGAAUCUGAUGAACAUUCACACAUAUCGAAGGAAUUUGAACAUGGAACAAAUACAAGUAAUAUUGAUUCACGAGUUGGUGAAAGUGAAAUGAAUCUUUCAGAAGCUGUACAUAGUCACACCAAUUCCAAAGCUGGGGGAUAUUCUCAAGAAGAUCAAGACUGGGCUUCUUUAUUGGAACCUGAAAAAACUCCCAUGUCAUCUGACUCUUUGAAAAAAUUUGAGUAUGAAGCAGAAUCAAUUCAUAUUAGUUCACCAGCAGGUGGAGAUGUAUGCAUGGGCAAUGGAGCUGCCUAUGAUAUGCUUAGUAGUGAUGCUAAAAUGUCCACAUCCACAGAGAGGACAAGUAAAGAAAAGAAGGAAACUACAGCGUUAAACAAAGUGGAAGAUCAGUCUUCGCUGGAGAUGGAUUAUGUCCUCAUUAGUGGUGAAGAAAAUGUACCUUUGAGGAAGGAUAUCUUGGUAACAGGAGAAAGCAAUUUCACUUCGCAGGAAGCUACAGCAGUGGCAGAACAAACAGAUUCUCUUCAAACCUUUUCACCAGACUCCUCGGAUACAUUUCAGUCAAUCUCCAUAAUAAAUGGAAGUGAAGGGCAGUCUACUUUGGAGACUGAAUGGGAUUCUUUUCAUUUAGAAGAGAAAUGUGCUGCUGUUGUGCCUCAAAAACUGGGAUAUGAAAAGAAAGCACUCAGAAGCCCUGUGCAAGAUCAGGAAUGGACUAUGGUGGGCCAACAUGGAGCGGAUAAUGCAUCCCCUGAAGAAAACUAUAGCAAGACAGACACAAUGCAGCCACUGUGUGGAAAUCCUGUUAAGGAAUUAGAAGAUGUUUUAAGUCAGGAAUUGAUUUCUGAGACACAAGUAGAAACUCUACUACAUAGAAGCCCUCACAAAUUGUUGGAAAAAGAGGAAGAGAUUUCACACAAUGGAAGAACAGGUGCUCUUUUAUUUCAGAGUGGUGAUGGCAAUGGUGAUUUGGAAGACCAUUCACAAUUUCCUAAAGAUGCCAUGAUAAUAGAGCAAGAAUUGGACCAGGACAUUCAACUUACUGACAGAGAGAAAGAAUCCAGUCAUAUAACAGGAUUAGUACCAGAGGAUGAGGGAAUGGAUAUCUCCUUCAAUGAGACUGUGCUAAACUCCAAUGCUGCCGAGAUGAGACCUGAACCUCCUAACUCUCUAGAUCUUGAUGGCUCCAACCCCAGAAGGAUAAAGCUCAUUGCUCCAAAUAUCAAUCUCUCUUUGGACCAGAGUGAAGGCUCUCUCCUUUCAGAUGACAACCUGGACACUCCAGAUGAAAUUGAUAUCAAUGUAGAUGAUCUUGAAACCCCAGAUGAAGCUGAUUCUUUUGAAUAUACUGGACAUGAGGAGCAGCCAGUCUCUAAGGAAAUUUCUCAGGACGCAUCUGAUUCAAUCCCAGAGUAUACUGCAGAAGAAGAGAGAGAGGACAACAAGUUGUGGAGAACAGUUGUCAUUGGAGACCAGGAACAAAGGAUUGAUAUGAAAGCGAUUGAACCAUAUAAAAAGGUCAUUUCUCAUGGAGGGUACUAUGGCGAUGGCCUAAAUGCCAUCAUUGUGUUUGCUGCAUGUUUUCUACCGGACAGCAGUCGAACUGAUUACCACUAUGUCAUGGAAAACCUUUUCCUAUAUGUAAUAAGUACUUUGGAACUCAUGGUAGCUGAAGACUAUAUGGUUGUUUACUUGAAUGGAGCAACACCAAGGAGAAGAAUGCCAGGCCUAGGUUGGAUGAAAAGAUGCUACCAGAUGAUUGAUAGACGGUUAAGAAAGAAUUUGAAAUCUUUCAUCAUUGUUCAUCCUUCUUGGUUUAUCAGAACAAUUCUAGCAGUGACACGGCCUUUUAUAAGCUCAAAAUUCAGCAGUAAGAUACAAUAUGUCAGCACUUUGGCAGAGCUCAGUGAACUAAUUCCAAUGGAAUAUGUAAAUAUCCCAGAAAGUAUUGUCAAGCAUGAUGAAGACAGGUCUUUUCAGAGAAGAGUAAGAUUGGAUGAGGAGCUGAGAGAAGAAUCAGCAAAGUAAGACGGCAUUCUGAGCAAGCUGUCUUUCAAAUGACCCAGAAAUUACUUCAGUCCAGCAGGAUGUCGACAUGAAGCUGAACGAAAAUUCCUAACUUUCUUGGCAGCCUGAAAAAGAGACAUUUCCUCUGUUUGAUGUGCCUGAGCCUUGAGGAUGGGGAUGAUUUUGGCUUUUCAAGUUGAACACAAUCCACCAGGAUCUUCUUAUUCACAAGUCUUAUUCAUAACCAUAAGACCUAUAUGUGCAAGAAACAUUCCUGGUUGAUUGUAAUCUUUGUUUUAUCUUUCAGUGCCAUUCAGUGCUUUCUAAGGUAAAGGGGGAAGGAAGGAGUCCCAUUCCUGUUGCUGCUACUAGACAGAGAGCUACAGGUGGAAUAUGGCUUUAUGUAAUCUUAUCUUCAAAAGUGUUGCCUGCAAUAAGGAUUCAGUCUGCAUUUUUCAAUUCUACAUUGCUUGGCCAUUAAUGUGCCUCAUCUAUGAUUUUAUAGGUUGAGUUAAUUCUAUUUUGUCUUCAGCAUAUUAGCAUUUCUAUGCCUAACUGAACUAGAGGUAUGGACCUCCAUAUAACAAAACUAAGGGAUUUUUGCCCUGGUCCUUUACACAGUGCAUCAGAGGGGCUCUGGGGGUCUUUCUACAGAGGCCCUAAAAUGCAGAAGAAACUGGGAUAAAAGGGGUGUGUGGCUACAUGACAUUUGCCAAAAAUGCAUACUGGAUCACAUUAACGGUUGAAAAACACAUGUUAAAAAGUGUGCUUAAAAUCUGAUUUUGGCCAAAAAAAAAGUGCAAAUUCACAUCACUGUAUAGCCCUGCAGUCAAGAAAUACAGUUGACUUCAUUGCUAUAUGCUGGUGAGAACUGCUCCAGUGCAUGUGCACAUUUUAAAAUCCUAAUAUAACUGAUGAAGCCGCAGACACACAGGUGGCUAAAUGGAAGCACAAAUGGAAAGCAAUUCCAAUGAGAACUCUCUACAACCAUUCCUGUGUUCUGAUGUUUAUGAAAUUAAACAGAUUGAAUUUACACAGUGGACACCAGCAUGGCAGGCAAGUGACCCCAAAAGGAAGCGGGGUUCAAGAGGGAAAAAGUAAAGGCAGCAGGAGGGUGAGGAGAGAACAUGACGAGAAAUCUGCUUGUGUGCACAUUAGUAUAUCCACAUCAAUGCUUAUGAGGUCCAAAGCAUCUCAGAGAGUCAAUAAAACAAAAUUAAAAGUAAACUUCUGGCAGAUGUUCCACUUCCAUCUUGUGGAUUUCUAAAAUCCACUACAACUGAACCUAUCUGGAUGCUGGGAGCAUUUACCGGAAUUGACAGUUCUGUGUCUGGACUCUCCUUAAGGUACUGCGAAUUUUUGCCCCAUUUAUUUGUCCUUAUUUUGAUGCUGUCUGAAAGCAGGAGUCCCACCUUUUGUGGAGCAUCAUUAGUAUUUCACAAAACUUGGGGUUUCAAUAUUAAUUGUUUGUUAUGCAGUUUCAUUAAAAAUGUUUAGCAUAUGUUUCCUAACACAGUGCCUAAAUUUCAGACACUAUGCAGGACCAGUUUUGAGAUUACUAUGCCCUGAAUAAGAAGGAUAUAUAUUUUUGUAGUUGUGAAGAUGCAGCCAUAACCAAGACAAAAAUUAAUGAAGCUUCCAUACAAGCUAAUCAUUACAAGAGAACCUGAAAUCAUGUACAGAUGACAAUGAGAACACAGAUUGAAAUGGUUUGAAAUAUACUAAGCAUGGGGUCAGAUGAACAGCUGGUAUUUUAAAACAUCUGUGGAAUGGGGGAAUAAAAUGUCUGCUUUAAUUUAAUUUCUCUACCAAUUGUCACCACCAACACAGCAUCAACAUCUCUUGCUAGUUAUAGAACAAAAUAGUGAUAGAAAAACACCCAUUCCUUUAUUAAGGAGAAAGGCAUACACAUUCUGAAACAUACUUGUUGGUUUUCAAAUGGUGGUGACCAAUGAGUCCAUUUGACAAAUCUAAUCUAGAUUGCUAUGAGUUGUAUAUGUCUUAUUUAAUCAAAUAUUGUGAAGGCAAUAGACUUUACAAUUAAGUAUAAUAAACUUAGUAAGAUGCCAGUCAUUACCAUUCUACUGUAUAAAUAUAGUUUUAAGUAGAUUUAGGUAUAAAUCAAUGGUAUCUGGAGCCAUUGUUAUGAUUAACCAUAAGAAAUCAUUAACUAUUAUUAGUCAGGAUGCAGAACCAGAGUGGCAAUGCAAAAUCCUGUGGUUGUCAUUCUUUCCAUUCACAUAUAGUUUACAUUCAUAAUGGACCAAGUAAUAAUUAUUGGCCAUCUGUGUAUUAUUCUGAUUUCCCCCCCAUAAUGAAAGUAGCAGCCAUUAUUAUCUGGACAACAGUAAAAUGUUUUCUAGAGGAAUGCAACAUCUGUGCAUGCUUUUUGCUAUUUUGAUUUUUGGUGUGUGUGCACAUCAAAUUUUAUCCACAUACAUGCACACACAAAUUGUAUCAUUGACCAUUCAUGAAACUGAUAGAUAUAUCAGCUCGUAUCUUCAUAACUGCAUUUUAAUUCCAUUAUGUCUGUGUUAAUUUGAUCCUGUACAUGAACUUGUGAUGGAAACAGCGUACUUGGUUUUUUCUUUUGUGUGUGAGAGGUGGGUUCCCUUUGGCCCUAUAGUUGUUUGGGACUUCUUAAAACCACAGGCAACAUGUUGGGAUUUGUAGUUCUAAACACUUGGAAUGCCAAAGGUGAUCAUCCCAUAUAUAUUUUAGAUUCUUCUGAACUGAAUUUGGUUUCCUACAGAAGGAGGUAUUGCUGGAAGAGGAAGUAAAUCUUUGUAUCCAAUCCAAUACAUAAGAUAUAGGUUGAUUUAAAAAAACCACACACACAUAACAGACUGAAUACUAUUCAAUGGAAAGAAACAAUUAGCUAUUUCCUAAAUGCCUGGCUCCAAGGUAUUUUUGUGGCUAGACCUUAUGGGAAGAGUGACGAGGUAAAUUAACUGUGUCUUCUCUUCAUCAUUCCUUCCAUAAGGAGUAGUCUGACUCCUCAGGGUCUUUAUAGAGCCAAGAACUUAGCAGAAAGAUUGCUAUACAGGUCCUGAAUUGUCACCACUGCUGUAGCGCAGUGGUGGGCUGUUUCACUUCUCAUCUUGGGUAAUGAGAAAGCUAUGAUUGAUCCUGCAAGGCAAGGAAUUAUUUUUAUUGAAAUGUUGGGGGAUAUUUUGCUUUUGUCUUUUUCUGCAUAUCUGUCAACCAUACAUUAAAGGAAACCAUGGUUUCUGCUCUUCGA